UGGGGAAUUUUGGACAAUGGGCGCAAGCCUGAUCCAGCCAUUCCGCGUGCAGGAUGAAGGCCCUCGGGUUGUAAACUGCUUUUGUACGGAACGAAAAGGCUUUCUCUAAUACAGAGAGCUCAUGACGGUACCGUAAGAAUAAGCACCGGCUAACUACGUGCCAGCAGCCGCGGUAAUACGUAGGGUGCAAGCGUUAAUCGGAAUUACUGGGCGUAAAGCGUGCGCAGGCGGUGAUGUAAAGACAGAUGUGAAAAUCCCCGGGCUCAAACCUGGGAACUGCAUUUUGUGACUGCAUCGCUGGAGUGCGGCAGAGGGGAUGGAAUUCGCGUGUAGCAGUGAAAUGCGUAGAUAUGCGGAGGAACACCGAUGGCGAAGGCAAUCCCCUGGGCCUGCACUGACGCUCAUGCACGAAAAGCGUGGGGAGCAAAACAGGAUUAGAUACCCUGGUAGUCCACGCCCUAAAACGAUGUCAACUGGUUGUUGGGUCUUCAC
rnacentral:rRNA from 1 species